GUACGGGCAGGGGUACCUUUACCUUUACUACAUAUAUAUAUAUAUAUAUAUAUAUAUAUAUAUAUAUAUAUAUGUGUGUGUGUGUGUGUAUGUAUGUGUAUAUAUGUGUGUGUGUGUAUAUAUAUAUAUGUGUGUGUGUGUGUGUGUGUAUGUAUGUACACACACACACACACACAAACACACAGGGGAAUACCUGAAAAGGUCUCUCACUGCCCU